GCCGUUCUCGUCGCGAGUCACCGCGCUGGGAUAAGUGUGUUGUCGCCGCCGCGGCGAACCAAUGCGGCGCUGCCACGUCGCUGUGUGCAAGCGACACAAAAAACAACGACGCUCAUAUAUACAGUAUAUAUAUAUAUAUAGAGAGAGAGAUUAUAGAAUUGGGAGGGACCCCCGAGGAUCAUCUAGUCCGACCCCAUUGCAAGGAAGGAAUAUGCAGUGGUCGAACCUGCAACCUUGGCAUUAGCAGCAGCUCGUGCAGUUGAUAAAAUGGACUCGAGGCCAAGGCGGCUUAUUGCGCUGUAACGCACUUGCCACGAGACCCUUCGUCGUCGUCAAGGAAGAGACCUCUGCGCAUGUGAAGAGCGCCUUGGCCUCAUCACAAGUAGCUGCAGGCAGCCCCCUAAAUACCUGCAAAGAGAUGUCACGGAGGCCGUAGCAUCCAAGGUAGCCCUAGGCUCUGUCUUUCCAGGGGAAAAAGCCACUUCUAUCUACGAAAGUUAUUGUCUCUGGUUCCUGGAGUGACUGUGGAAGAACAUGAAGGUAGGGGUCCAAGUACUUCUGGAUUACAUAAUGGACCUGGAGCAAGGAACCAGCUAUAUUUUGUAAUUUUAUAAGCUAUGUGACUUUGCUGCUCAGUAUAUCUUUUUUUUAACAUGAUCUGUGGCGUUUUAUGCAUUGUGACUUUGCUGUUAUUUUUAUUGAUUACAGUCCAGUAAUGAUU